GCCUGGGUGGCUCAGUCGGUGAAGCACCCGACUUCGGCUCAGGUCGUGAUCUUGCGGUUUGUGGGUUCGAGCCCCGCGUCGGGCU
rfam:Felis catus isolate Cinnamon breed Abyssinian chromosome D2, whole genome shotgun sequence.